GAACGCCUCUUUUCAGGCCCCUCAAGCAAAACCAGCGUCCAGAGAGCACAUGAUCUUGUUAACUGUCUUGAAAUAAAUACAGUCCAUGUAUCUAUUAGGUGGUUUCUUCCACCUUCACGUAAUCUUCUUUAGGGCUCCCUCCUUAAUUCCAAAAGCGUAAAGGAAGCUGUAGGCUGCUGUUCUAGGAAGCAUGUUUCUCAGUGUGUUGAGAUCUUGCUUCUAGGUGUAUCCUUCUGUUUGGAUCAAAUAUAUUUUUAUAAAAAUUCUCCACACAUUUGGACACUAUUACACUGACACUGCUGAGCAGCAACAUGGAAGAAAGGAGUUAAGAAGCUACUACGGUAAUCUAGGAAGGAGAAAUGGUCGCUUAGACCCAGCGGGCCAUGAAGAGGGCAAGAAAUAAUGGUGUCUGAAGGUGGUGCCCACAGGAUUUGCUGAAGGCUGGGAGAAAGCUUCCAUUCCGGCACAAGGAAACGCUCAGCACUUGGGAAGCCACGCCCUGUACUGCGCCCCCUGACCUUGAGCAGAUCCCCUGGUUCCUGCUGUCUAGACCACGGGCUGCACAGUAAGAGUGGGAGUCACUGUUCAUCCUCAGAGAAGUAUGUAACCCUCAGGACUGGUUCCAUUCACCCGGAAAGGACUCUACGGAGUUUCACUUACCAGUUGAUUGCCUUCUACUUCUGAAGUUUCACCCCUUGCUGCCGCUCUUUGCUCAUUUGCCGUAUCUCCUAAAAAGCACAAGAACAAAAUAAACAGAAAACUUUACCACAUCACUGAGGCCAAAUUGUCUUCUAUUUCUUUGAAAUAUCUUUGACAUUAUGUUUCACAUUAUGGAAUCAACUACUCUUUCCUGUGUUACAAAGUAAGUUAAGUGAAUUUUUAAGAAUAGCAGUUUUAUUGAGGUCUCAGAAACCAUCCACAAACACACACACACACACACACCCUGAACCAGAAACGUACCCUCUUUUAUAAAGGUUUAUACUGGAAGAAUGACCAAGUCAUAUUUCAAAUAAACUAAUAAUGCUUACAGCUUAAAAAAUAAGGCAAAUUGGUUUCAAAUUAAGUCUUUAUAAUAUGACCAACUGUCCUCAAAAUUAGUUCUUUUAAUAAGAGUUACUCUUUAUAAGGUUUGUAUCUCUGUGGAUUUGCCUCAAAGUAGAUAUAUACAUAUAUUUGAGGGUAAUAGUUAACCAAAUGUGGAACAGUCUUUACAGCUGGAAAGAACAGUGAACAAAUUCAAAGACUGGCCUUCAGUUACACUCUGACACCCAAGGCUGGUGCCUGGGCGAGCUGUGUCACUGAGUGAAGUUGGUGACUGGGCCUGCUCCGAGGACAGGACACACACAAACAUAGGUAAGGAUAAGCAUAAUCUAAUUAUUAAUGGCCUAUUUUAUUUAUUAAUUAUCACCAAUGAGCUGUGAUUAACACAUGGUAAGUGAAGAAACAAUUAGCCUAUUUCUUUACAGCAUAAUGAGAGGUCAAUUUAGUAAUUUGUAAACUGCUCUUCCUGUAGAAUUGGGCCAGCUCAGCAAUGCCCACAACAGGGUACAUUAGGGAACGCACAGACGAUGACGCGGCUGGCGCCGAGGGUCAGGAAUUUGUUCACAGGAGGCAGGUCACAAGUCUUGGGUUGGAGAUGAAAUAUGAAAGUAAGGAAGGGUGAGGUUACCUUUUCCACAUGAAAUACAGAAGUUGAGUUUACCAAGGGCUACAAUCAAAGAGGAACCUCAUGAAAAUUUUAAAGGAUUGAAUAAAAUUAUGUUAAAUUCUAAAAUUAUGUUAAAUUCUGAAGCAAGAAUUAAAUUGGUAGUUUAUUUACUUAAGAGUUAUUUUACUUUAGAUAGAGGAAUGCCUCAAAGAUGUUUAAAAUCCAAGCAGCACAUCAAUAUAUAUUCCAGGCUAUAAGGCUUGUUCCCAGUUAUGCAUAACAUAACAGCUGGGUGGGGACCAGCCCAU